rnacentral:rRNA from 1 species
AUUGAACGCUGGCGGCAUGCCUUACACAUGCAAGUCGAACGGUAACGGGCCUUCGGGUGCCGACGAGUGGCGAACGGGUGAGUAAUACAUCGGAACGUGCCCGAUCGUGGGGGAUAACGAGGCGAAAGCUUUGCUAAUACCGCAUACGAUCUACGGAUGAAAGCAGGGGACCGCAAGGCCUUGCGCGGACGGAGCGGCCGAUGGCAGAUUAGGUAGUUGGUGGGAUAAAAGCUUACCAAGCCGACGAUCUGUAGCUGGUCUGAGAGGAUGAUCAGCCACACUGGGACUGAGACACGGCCCAGACUCCUACGGGAGGCAGCAGUGGGGAAUUUUGGACAAAGGGCGCAAGCCUGAUCCAGCCAUGCCGCGUGCAGGAUGAAGGCCUUCGGGUUGUAAAAUGCUUUUGUACGGAACGAAAAGCCUUCUUUUAAUACAGGAGGGUCAUGACGGUACCGUAAGAAUAAGCACCGGCUAACUACGUG